UGAUUAAAUAUUUAUAGGAUAGAGAUGGGCUCGCGUGACAUUAGCUAGUUGGUAGGGUAACGGCUUACCAAGGCGACGAUGUCUAGGGGCUCUGAGAGGAGAAUCCCCCACACUGGUACUGAGACACGGACCAGACUCCUACGGGAGGCAGCAGUAAGGAAUAUUGGUCAAUGGGCGGAAGCCUGAACCAGCCAUGCCGCGUGCAGGAUGACUGCCCUAUGGGUUGUAAACUGCUUUUGUCCAGGAAUAAACCUAGAUACGUGUAUUUAGCUGAAUGUACUGGAAGAAUAAGGAUCGGCUAACUCCGUGCCAGCAGCCGCGGUAAUACGGAGGAUCCGAGCGUUAUCCGGAUUUAUUGGGUUUAAAGGGUGCGUAGGCGGCCUAUUAAGUCAGGGGUGAAAUACGGUGGCUCAACCAUCGCAGUGCCUUUGAUACUGAUGGGCUUGAAUCCAUUUGAAGUGGGCGGAAUAAGACAAGUAGCGGUGAAAUGCAUAGAUAUGUCUUAGAACUCCGAUUGCGAAGGCAGCUCACUAAGCUGGUAUUGACGCUGAUGCACGAAAGCGUGGGGAUCGAACAGGAUUAGAUACCCUGGUAGUCCACGCCCUAAACGAUGAUAACUCGAUGUUG
rnacentral:rRNA from 1 species